rnacentral:tRNA from 1 species
GCGCCCAUAGCUUAAUUGGAUAGAGCGUCGUGUUACGGCCGCGGCGGUUGAGGGUUCAACUCCUUCUGGGCGU